GGUAACAGGUUAAGCUGACGAGUGGCGAACGGGUGAGUAAUAUAUCGGAACGUGCCCAGUUGUGGGGGAUAACUACUCGAAAGAGUGGCUAAUACCGCAUACGACCUGAGGGUGAAAGCGGGGGAUCGCAAGACCUCGCGCAAUUGGAGCGGCCGAUAUCAGAUUAGCUAGUUGGUGGGGUAAGAGCCCACCAAGGCGACGAUCUGUAGCUGGUCUGAGAGGACGACCAGCCACACUGGGACUGAGACACGGCCCAGACUCCUACGGGAGGCAGCAGUGGGGAAUUUUGGACAAUGGACGCAAGUCUGAUCCAGCCAUGCCGCGUGUGGGAAGAAGGCCUUCGGGUUGUAAACCACUUUUGUCAGGGAAGAAACGGCUCGGGUUAAUACCUUGGGCUAAUGACGGUACCUGAAGAAUAAGCACCGGCUAACUACGUGCCAGCAGCCGCGGUAAUACGUAGGGUGCAAGCGUUAAUCGGAAUUACUGGGCGUAAAGCGUGCGCAGGCGGUUAUGCAAGACAGAUGUGAAAUCCCCGGGCUCAACCUGGGAACUGCAUUUGUGACUGCAUAGCUAGAGUACGGUAGAGGGGGAUGGAAUUCCGCGUGUAGCAGUGAAAUGCGUAGAUAUGCGGAGGAACACCGAUGGCGAAGGCAAUCCCCUGGACCUGUACUGACGCUCAUGCACGAAAGCGUGGGGAGCAAACAGGAUUAGA
rnacentral:rRNA from 1 species